UACGAAGGGGGCUAGCGUUGCUCGGAAUCACUGGGCGUAAAGGGCGCGUAGGCGGCCUAUCAAGUCGGGGGUGAAAGCCUGUGGCUCAACCACAGAAUUGCCUUCGAUACUGUUAGGCUUGAGUAUGGUAGAGGUCAGUGGAACUGCGAGUGUAGAGGUGAAAUUCGUAGAUAUUCGCAAGAACACCAGUGGCGAAGGCGGCUGACUGGACCAUUACUGACGCUGAGGCGCGAAAGCGUGGGGAGCAAACAGG
rnacentral:rRNA from 1 species